UCAAGCGACUAAGCGCACGAGGUGGAUGCCUUGGCGAUGAUAGGCGACGAAGGACGUGGCAACCUGCGAAAAGCUCCGGGGAGCUGGUAAACGAGCAUUGAUCCGGAGAUGUCCGAAUGGGGAAACCCGGCCCGCGAGGGUCACCCCGCACUGAAUACAUAGGUGCGGAGGAGCGAACCCGCUGAACUGAAACAUCUAAGUAGGCGGAGGAACAGAAAUCAACCGAGAUUCCGAGAGUAGUGGCGAGCGAAAUCGGAGUAGCCAGCUGUCUUUAGCCUGAGGUCUAGUGGAACGGUCUGGAAAGUCCGGCCAUAGCGGGUGAUAGCCCCGUACACGAAAGGCUUUGGGUGGAACUAGGUCAGCGACAAGUAGGGCGGGACACGUGAAAUCCUGUCUGAAGAUGGGGGGACCAUCCUCCAAGGCUAAAUACUCAUCAUCGACCGAUAGUGAACCAGUACCGUGAGGGAAAGGCGAAAAGAACCCCGGGAGGGGAGUGAAAUAGAUCCUGAAACCGCAUGCAUACAAACAGUCGGAGCCCGCAAGGGUGACGGCGUACCUUUUGUAUAAUGGGUCAGCGACUUACGUUCAGUUGCAAGCUUAACCGCAUAGGGAAGGCGAAGCGAAAGCGAGUCCGAACAGGGCGAGUCAGUAGCUGGGCGUAGACCCGAAACCGGAUGAUCUACCCAUGGCCAGGGUGAAGGUGGGGUAACGCUCACUGGAGGCCCGAACCCACUAACGUUGAAAAGUUAGGGGAUGAGCUGUGGGUAGGGGUGAAAGGCUAAACAAAUCCGGAAAUAGCUGGUUCUCUCCGAAAGCUAUUUAGGUAGCGCCUCGUGUAUCACUCCUGGGGGUAGAGCACUGUCAUGGCUAGGGGGCCGUUCUAGGCUUACCAAACCAUAGCAAACUCCGAAUACCGGGAAGUGCAAGCACGGGAGACAGACAUCGGGUGCUAACGUCCGAUGUCAAGAGGGAAACAACCCAGACCGCCGGCUAAGGUCCCCAAUGACACGCUAAGUGGAAAACGAAGUGGGAAGGCUUAGACAGCCAGGAGGUUGGCUUAGAAGCAGCCACCCUUUAAAGAAAGCGUAAUAGCUCACUGGUCGAGUCGUCCUGCGCGGAAGAUGUAACGGGGCUGUAAGCGUGUAACCGAAGCCGCGGGUGCAUGAGCAAUCAUGCGCGGUAGGAGAGCGUUCCGUAGGCCUGCGAAGGUGUUCCGGAAGGAAUGCUGGAGGUAUCGGAAGUGCGAAUGCUGACAUGAGUAGCGAUAAACGGUGUGAAAAGCACCGUCGCCGAAAGCCCAAGGUUUCCUGCGCAACGUUCAUCGACGCAGGGUGAGUCGGCCCCUAAGGUGAGGGCGAAAGCCGUAGCUGAUGGGAAACGGGUCAAUAUUCCCGUACCGGCCUUGAAUGCGAUGGGGGGACGAAGAAGGUUAGGCCAGCCGGGUGUUGGAUGUCCCGGUUCAAGCCAGUAGGCAUGCCUGGUAGGCAAAUCCGCCGGGCUUAGCCGAGAGGUGAUAACGAGGUCCUUCGGGACCGAAGUGGUCGAUACCCCGCUUCCAGGAAAAGCCUCUAAGCUUCAGUUCAAGGCUGACCGUACCGCAAACCGACACAGGUGGGCAGGGUGAGAAUCCUAAGGCGCUUGAGAGAACUCGGGAGAAGGAACUCGGCAAAUUAGCACCGUAACUUCGGGAGAAGGUGCGCCCCGGUAGGUUGUAGUCCCUCGCGGACGAAGGCCGAUGGGGUUGCAGUGAAAUGGUGGCUGCGACUGUUUAAUAAAAACACAGCACUCUGCAAACACGAAAGUGGACGUAUAGGGUGUGACGCCUGCCCGGUGCCGGAAGGUUAAGUGAUGGGGUGCAAGCUCUUGAUCGAAGCCCCGGUAAACGGCGGCCGUAACUAUAACGGUCCUAAGGUAGCGAAAUUCCUUGUCGGGUAAGUUCCGACCUGCACGAAUGGCGUAACGAUGGCCACACUGUCUCCUCCUGAGACUCAGCGAACUUGAAAUGUUUGUGAUGAUGCAAUCUCCCCGCAGCUAGACGGAAAGACCCCAUGAACCUUUACUGUAGCUUUGCAUUGGACUUUGAACCGGUUUGUGUAGGAUAGGUGGGAGGCGUUACCACUCAUCGAAGAAAAUCAUCUGCAUGAAUUACACCGCACCCUGCUUAAACACAGCAAAAAAGAUGUUUGGCACGCCGGCAAGUACAAGGCUUCCGGUAAUCAGCGCUCGUUUAACAACCCCGACACUGGUACUCGUUCGCAACUACCUUCGGCCAGUCCGAUGGAAGCACCUGCGCGAUUAAAAAGCCUGCUGCAGUGGCUACAUGAUGAACGAUCAAAACCAACGCAACACACCCUGCUCACGAUUGCUUCGUUUGUCGCAGGGUUUCACGCGAUCAGGCCCUACCAGGACGGCAACGCACGCAUGGGUUUGCUGCUCACGCGUCUUUUGUUGCUGCAGAGUGGCUAUUCACAGGUGGCCUACGCUUCACUCGAAGCGCAGCUUGAGCGUGACCGCGAUGCGUAUUACACCGCGCUCGACCGCACAUUGGCAGGCAUAGAAAGCGCGCACCCGCAUUGGGAGCCCUGGACUGGUUUCUUCCUGAGCGCGCUGGUGGACCAAGCCA
rnacentral:rRNA from 1 species